GUCGUGAAGAGGGAAACAACCCAGACCGCCAGCUAAGGUCCCAAAGUCAUGGUUAAGUGGGAAACGAUGUGGGAAGGCCCAGACAGCCAGGAUGUUGGCUUAGAAGCAGCCAUCAUUUAAAGAAAGCGUAAUAGCUCACUGGUCGAGUCGGCCUGCGCGGAAGAUGUAACGGGGCUAAACCAUGCACCGAAGCUGCGGCAGCGACGCUUAUGCGUUGUUGGGUAGGGGAGCGUUCUGUAAGCCUGUGAAGGUGUGCUGUGAGGCAUGCUGGAGGUAUCAGAAGUGCGAAUGCUGACAUAAGUAACGAUAAAGCGGGUGAAAAGCCCGCUCGCCGGAAGACCAAGGGUUCCUGUCCAACGUUAAUCGGGGCAGGGUGAGUCGACCCCUAAGGCGAGGCCGAAAGGCGUAGUCGAUGGGAAACAGGUUAAUAUUCCUGUACUUGGUGUUACUGCGAAGGGGGGACGGAGAAGGCUAUGUUGGCCGGGCGACGGUUGUCCCGGUU
rnacentral:rRNA from 1 species